rnacentral:rRNA from 1 species
AUUGAACGCUGGCGGCAGGCCUAACACAUGCAAGUCGAACGGGGGGCGGGCGGGUGAGUACUGUGUAGGAACCUGCCGGUUGGAGGGGGAUAACUGCUGGAAACGGUAGCUAAUACCGCGUACAAUCGGCUUUGCCCAGAUGGGAUUAGCUGGUGGGUGGGGUAACGGCCCACCUAGGCGACGAUCCCUAGCCGGUCUGAGAGGAUGACCAGCCACACUGGAACUGAGACACGGUCCAGACUCCUACGGGAGGCAGCAGUGGGGAAUAUUGGACAAUGGGCGCAAGCCUGAUGCAGCCAUGCCGCGUGUGUGAAGAAGGCCUUCGGGUUGUAAAGCACUGUCAGCGGGGAGGCGGUACCCGCAGAAGAAGCACCGGCUAACUCCGUGCCAGCAGCCGCGGUAAUAC